rnacentral:rRNA from 1 species
UAUCUCUGUAGAGUCUGCAUAUCAAUAAGCGGAGGAAAAGAAACUAACUAGGAUUCCCUCAGUAACGGCGAGUGAAGCGGGAAGAGCUCAAAUUUGAAAUCUUCAAGGUUUUACCUUGACGAAUUGUAGUUUAAAGAAGUGUUUUCUGUUGGAGUUUUGGUAAAAGUUCUUUGGAAUAGGACAUCAUAGAGGGUGAGAAUCCCGUAUUUGACCAUUAUUUCCAGCUUUGUGAUACACUUUCAAAGAGUCGGAUUGUUUGGGAAUGCAGUCCAAAAUGGGUGGUAAAUUUCAUCUAAAGCUAAAUACUGGCGAGAGACCGAUAGCGAACAAGUACCGUGAGGGAAAGAUGAAAAGAACUUUGAAAAGAGAGUUAAACAGUACGUGAAAUUGUCAAAAGGGAAGCGUUUGACACCAGUGUUGUUUUCUCGAAAAUCAAUUAAAAAUGGCGGGAUUUUGUGUUGUAUUGACUUUAUCAGCUUUCUGCACUUUUUUCCUGUCUUUUUUAAUGCACUUUUCGUUUAACAAGUCAACAUCAAUUUCUUUUGUUGUAAAAGAGUCAUUGGAAGGUGGCUUUCUUUUCGGAGAAAGUGUUUAUAGCCUUUGGCCUCUGCAAUCGGAGAGAUUGAGGUCUGCAGCGUAGAUCCUUCGGGGUUAGAUACAUUUGUGCUAAGUUAUAGCCUUUCAUAGGACAACUUGUUGACUAUGAUCAGUCAUGUAGCUUACUCGCUUAUGCUAUUUUACCUACGCUUAGGAUGUUGAGUCAUCACACAUCUCU